ACUCAAAUGAAUAGACGGGGAGCCGCACAAGCAGUGGAGGAUGUGGUUUAAUUCGAGGCUAAGCGAUGAACCUUACCAAGGCUUGACAUCCUGGGAAUCUCUGCGAAAGCAGAGAGUGCCUUCGGGAAUCCAGUGACAGGUGCUGCAUGGCCGUCGUCAGCUCGUGUCGUGAGAUGUUGGGUUAAGUCCCGCAACGAGCGCAACCCUUAUCGUUUGUUGAAUGUUCAAACGAGACUGCCCGGGACAACCGGGAGGAAGGUGGGGAUGACGUCUGGUCAGCAUGGCCCUUACGCCUUGGGCUACACACGUCCUACAAUGGCCACUACAACGCGUUGCCAAAUCGCAAGAUGGAGCUAAUCGCAUCAAAAGUGGUCUCAGUUCGGAUUGAGGGCUGAAACUCGCCCUCAUGAAGCCGGAAUUGCUAGUAAUGGUGGAUCAGCCAUACCGCCGUGAAUACGUUCCCGGCUCUUGUACACACCGCCCGU
rnacentral:rRNA from 1 species